ACGGACAUAUCCGGGCAGGGAAGGCAAAUAAAUACAUUCAGACAAAGUUAGAUUUUAGUGCGUGUAACUCAGGAAAUUCAAUUAUGGUCUCCACAGCAACCAAAACUCAACCACAAUACUGUAGCCUCUCUCGGCGCGUGAAUGACUAUGCCGCUAAAUUGCUUGCUCUAUUGGAAAACGAAGGCUGACAGCACUUGCAUCACUUUCGUCCGAACUACAAAGAGCCACAGCAGAAAAAGCAUCAGUAAAUAAAGAACUAAAUCAAAGAUGA